rnacentral:snRNA from 1 species
GCUUGUUUCAGUAGCCCAUAUACUAAAAUAGGAACAAUGCAGAGAAGAUUAGCACAGCCCCCGCACAAGGCUGACACAUAAAUUCAUGAAGGAUUAGAGACAAAA